UGGGAGAGAAGACACGUCGGAUGAGAUAUUCAAUUUUAAAUGUUCGCCUUGUCUGGCAAAUAAUCGGAAUAGAGAAGCUGUGAAAUAUUGCGUGGGAUGUCAGGGAUAUUAUUGUCAGUCUUAUGCUGACACUAUGCAUAUGAUGCCUGGUUUAAAAGGUCACACGCUUUUGGAUAAGUCGAAUUGCAAAUCAUCAAGUCUUCCAGCAGGAUUACCAGCAGUACCGACGGAGAGAUGCAGCAAUCAUGAGACAAAGAUCGUGGACAUGUACUGUGGUAAUCAUGAUGAGGUUGGUUGUACAACUUGCAUGGCUUUAAGCCACAGUAUCAAGUAACAGUCACUGGUGUGAAUGAAGUCUGUUUGAGAAUUGUACAAUUACAGAUCAUUCGUCCCUUAGAUGAAUGUGUUGCUAUACCACUUUAGUAAACGGUUAUAAUAAAUUGGAUACAGAAGAGUUUAACCUAGUCGUAUUAUCGUAUAUCAGUACCAUCCAAUUACACAAGUGGGCACUAAUCGAACUCAUAGACCCUUAGGGCCUAGGACUAUUAUUAAUAUAGCGCCGAUACACCCCGUAACACAUUGACCUUUGAGCUAGGGGACUCGAUGUUGCGCAUGAUACGACAUCUUAUUAUUGGGAACAUUUAUGCCAAAUAUAUUGAUGGAUUGCAAAGUUAUUGACUGGACAUGAAAGUGGACUGGCGCGGACGAACGGAAAUGCAGAAUGAUGGACGGACGGGCGGAAAAGCGCAAUCCAAUAGAAUUAAAACUGUGUACGGACGCAAAUAUUAAAUAUUUGCAAUACUCAAAAAAGAUUUACUUUAUGUUUUAACAAAUAUUUCGUAAUUUUAUUUUUUGUAGCGGAAUAAAUUUCAGUUCAUAAGAAUGUCUGUCGUUCUGUCUUUUUUUCUCCGUCUACAUUUUCAUGUCCGGUGCAUACAUUUGGACAAACAAUGAUAAAUGAUUAUGUAAAAGAAUGUGUAGAUAUAUGUUAACCUUCGCAAUCCUGUUUACUAAUCUGGAUAGGGUAUACGUGUAUUGAUUAAACCGUCCUGAGCAAUAAACGGUAUGUUUACAUGUAUUGAUUGUAGCUAUAAACCAAGUAGGUCGAUUCAAAAGGAAGUAAACGUACAGUUUUAAAAUGGCAUGUGGUGGGUGUGAAAACACAUCAGAUGAGAUUUUUUAAUUUUAAAUGUUCACCUUGUCUGGCAAAUAACCGAACUAGAGAAGCACUGAAAUAUUGCGUGGAAUGUCAGGGAUAUUGUUGUAAGGAAUGUACUGACAUUCAUGAAGGAUUGCCUGGUUUAAAAGGUCACACGCUUUUGGAUAAGUCGAAUUAUAAAUCUUCAGGCCUCCCAGCAGGAUUACCAGCGGUACCGACGGAGAGAUGUAGCAAACAUGAGACAAAGAUCGUGGACAUGUACUGCGGUAAUCAUGAUGAAGUCGGUUGUACAACUUGCAUGGCU
rnacentral:lncRNA from 1 species